rnacentral:misc_RNA from 1 species
UCAACAACUGAGCGCAUGGUUACAUAUUUCACAACAACAAAUUCAGGUGAAAGUGGCAAUGAAAAACAGAAGGGACAAAAAAUCAAUAUUGUGCGAAAAUUAGUGAAAAUGACAACAAUUUUUAGAGGUUUUCAUGGAAAUUGUGCUUUAUUGGUAAUUUUAUUAAUAAUUUUUCUUCAGAAUGCAUCAACACUACAUAGGACUUUGCGACAUUAUGAAGUACUUCGCAGUGAAGACUGUAGACACAAAAUUGUUAAGCGCGGAAUUAAACAGAGCUCACACCCCUAUAACGUGAUCAAGGAGGUAGAGUUCAAGACUUUGGGUAAAAAUUUUCGACUUAUACUACACCCGCACCGUGAGGUAUUACAUAGCAAAUUUAAAGCAUAUAAUGUAGACGGCGACGGUAAUGAGACAGUGGUGCAUUUAGAUCAUGAUAGCUUUUUUACCGGGCGAGUAUUUGGUGAAUUAGAAUCAUCUGUAAGAGCGCACAUAGAUGAUGGCUUAAUGACAAUGUCCAUACAUCUGCCGGACGAAACAUAUCACAUUGAGCCAUCGUGGAGACAUUUACCACGUUCGGCAGAGAAGACGAUGGUAGCGUAUAGAGUUUCUGAUGUGAAGUUAAAUUGGAAUAAGCAUGGGAAUGGUCCUCCUGGUGGGCAAAUGCCUUGUGGAUAUAUUAAAGAAGGUUUAGAAUUGGAAAUAGAUGAUAUGGCAGAUUCUAAUAUGGAUGGCCAUCUACAUCAUGAGAAUGAUAUUACGAAAUCUCGCAAAAAGCGACAGGCGGAUCAGUAUGAAUACACACCUACAAAAACUCGUUGCCCACUUUUGCUUGUGGCCGAUUAUCGUUUUUUUCAAGAGAUGGGAGGAGGGAAUACCAAAACAACAAUAAAUUACUUGAUAAGUCUGAUAGAUCGGGUCCACAAAAUAUACAACGAUACUGUAUGGCAGGAUCGAACUGAUCAGGAAGGCUUUAAAGGUAUGGGGUUUGUGAUAAAGAAAAUAGUUGUGCAUUCUGAACCGACGCGGCUGCGAGGCGGAGAAGCUCAUUACAAUAUGAUUCGAGAAAAGUGGGAUGUGCGCAAUCUACUAGAGAGUAUUUCAAAAAUGGCUACACCCUGUAUUUGAACUCGGGACUAAGUAGCUCCCGAAAUCAUUAUGGACAGCGAGUUAUAACGCGUGAAGCCGAUUUAGUGACGGCACAUGAGUUUGGUCAUAAUUGGGGGUCUGAGCACGACCCAGAUAUACCAGAAUGCUCACCAAGUGCCUCACAGGGUGGAAGUUUUCUCAUGUAUACAUAUUCUGUCAGCGGAUAUGAUGUUAAUAAUAAGAAAUUCUCACCGUGCUCUCUACGUUCGAUACGCAAAGUUUUGCAAGCAAAGUCAGGACGAUGUUUCUCGGAACCCGAAGAAUCAUUCUGCGGUAAUUUGCGGGUAGAAGGCGAUGAACAGUGCGAUGCGGGUUUGCUCGGUACCGAAGACAAUGACGCUUGCUGUGAUAAGAACUGCAAAUUGCGUCGAAACCAAGGAGCUGUGUGUAGCGAUAAAAAUUCGCCUUGCUGCCAAAACUGCCAAUUCAUGCCGGCAGGAAUGAACUGUCGGGACGCCCAGUAUGCUACCUGUGAGCAGGAGGCACGCUGUUCGGGUACUCAUGCCGAAUGUCCGAAAUCUCCGCCAAUGGCUGACGGAACAAUAUGCCAAGAGCGAGGGCAAUGCAGAAACGGUAAAUGCAUACCAUUUUGUGAGACACAAGGUUUGCAGAGCUGUAUGUGCGACAUCAUACAAGAUGCUUGCAAACGUUGCUGCCGUAUGAGCAUAAACGAAACCUGCUUUCCAGUGGAGCCUGCCGAUAUGUUACCCGAUGGUACUCCAUGCAUACAAGGAUUCUGCAACAAGGGUGUGUGUGAAAAAACGAUUCAAGAUGUUGUAGAACGCUUUUGGGAUAUCAUCGAAGAGAUAAAUAUCAAUCGCGUUUUACGUUUUUUAAAAGACAAUAUUGUCAUGGCCGUCGUAGUUAUCACUUCAAUAUUUUGGAUUCCAAUCAGUUGUGUAAUUUCAUACUUUGACCGUAAAAAACUACGCCACGAAAUGAAACAGUUGGAAUGGAGUAGUAAACUUGAUUUAAUUCAUCCCAGCGAUCGCCGACGAGUUAUACACAUCAGAGUGCCGCGUCAAAAAAUGUCUGUAUCGCGAAUGUAACCAGUGUUGCAAUAAAAUGAAGCGGAUAAACGGGUGCAUACGAAUUACUUAAUUUAUAUACAGGGGAUCAGAUGAAACGCACACAGCUUUUUCAAAUAUGUACAUGCCAAAAUCAUAUGUAUAUUUAUGCAGCCGUGACUGAAAGUAUUUCGACUCUGGAUAACAUUGUACCAUAUGUUGCAUCCUGUUUAUACUAUCAUGUCUAAUCUUUGGUCAAUCAGUUGUUCAAAAUUUAUUUAAUUUCUGUAAUAUCCUCUCGAAAUAAUAAUCAAGAAACGGUAGCAAAAUUGCCUUAACUUUUACAAUCCUGCCGUAAAAUUAUGGAGUGAAAACGCCUGAGUAUAAACACUUUUAGUCAAGGAUGCAUUUUGUAAAUACACAUGUAAUUGUACAUACCCAUACGCUGUAUGUAUACACACAAUCAAAUUUUGUAAAUCAUGUUCAACAAUAAUGAAAAUGUAUUUCUUUUAGA